GGCUCCGUAGCUUAGUUGGUUAAAGCGCCUGUCUAGUAAACAGGAGAUCCUGGGUUCGACUCCCAGCGGGGCCU
rfam:Homo sapiens chromosome 6, GRCh38 reference primary assembly.